CCAAUAGCGUAUAUUAAAGUUGUUGCAGUUAAAAAGCUCGUAGUUGAAUUUCGAGAUCAAAUUGUUGGUCGUGCCUCGGUACGUACUGGCAUUAUUGGUUUCUCCCUUCUGACGAACCAUGAUGUCAUUAAUUUGGUGUCAUGGGGAAUCAGGACUGUUACUUUGAAAAAAUUAGAGUGUUUAAAGCAGGCUCGCGCUUGAAUACAUUAGCAUGGAAUAAUGAAAUAGGACGUUUGAUUCUAUUUUGUUGGUUUCUAGGAUCGACGUAAUGAUUAAUAGGGAUAGUUGGGGGCAUUAGUAUUCAAUUGUAAGAGGUGAAAUUCUUGGAUUUAUUGAAGACUAACUACUGCGAAAGCAUUUGCCAAGGAUGUUUUCAUUAAUCAAGAACGAAAGUUAGGGGAUCGAAGACGAUCAGAUACCGUCGUAGUCUUAACCAUAAACUAUGCCGACUAGGGAUCGGAUGAUGUUAAUUUUUUAAUGACUCAUUCGGCGCCUUAC
rnacentral:rRNA from 1 species